rnacentral:tRNA from 2 species
GGGGUCGUGGUGAAAUGGUAUCACGGCGGUCUCCAAAACCGUCUUUCCAGGUUCAAGUCCUGGCGGCCCUG